rnacentral:rRNA from 1 species
ACUCCUACGGGAGGCAGCAGUGAGGAAUUUUCCGCAAUGGGCGAAAGCCUGACGGAGCAAUGCCGCGUGAAGGAUGAAGGCCUAUGGGUUGUAAACUUCUUUUCUCAGAGAAGAAAUUUUGACGGUAUCUGAGGAAUAAGCAUCGGCUAACUCUGUGCCAGCAGCCGCGGUAAUAC